AUGAACGCUAGCUACAGGCUUAACACAUGCAAGUCGAGGGGCAGCAUGAACUUAGCUUGCUAAGUUUGAUGGCGACCGGCGCACGGGUGAGUAACACGUAUCCAACCUGCCGAUGACUCGGGGAUAGCCUUUCGAAAGAAAGAUUAAUACCCGAUGGCAUAGUUCUUCCGCAUGGUGGAACUAUUAAAGAAUUUCGGUCAUCGAUGGGGAUGCGUUCCAUUAGGUUGUUGGCGGGGUAACGGCCCACCAAGCCUUCGAUGGAUAGGGGUUCUGAGAGGAAGGUCCCCCACAUUGGAACUGAGACACGGUCCAAACUCCUACGGGAGGCAGCAGUGAGGAAUAUUGGUCAAUGGACGAGAGUCUGAACCAGCCAAGUAGCGUGAAGGAUGACUGCCCUAUGGGUUGUAAACUUCUUUUAUACGGGAAUAAAGUGAGGCACGUGUGCCUUUUUGUAUGUACCGUAUGAAUAAGGAUCGGCUAACUCCGUGCCAGCAGCCGCGGUAAUACGGAGGAUCCGAGCGUUAUCCGGAUUUAUUGGGUUUAAAGGGAGCGUAGGCGGACGCUUAAGUCAGUUGUGAAAGUUUGCGGCUCAACCGUAAAAUUGCAGUUGAUACUGGGUGUCUUGAGUACAGUAGAGGCAGGCGGAAUUCGUGGUGUAGCGGUGAAAUGCUUAGAUAUCACGAAGAACUCCGAUUGCGAAGGCAGCUUGCUGGACUGUAACUGACGCUGAUGCUCGAAAGUGUGGGUAUCAAACAGGAUUAGAUACCCUGGUAGUCCACACAGUAAACGAUGAAUACUCGCUGUUUGCGAUAUACAGUAAGCGGCCAAGCGAAAGCGUUAAGUAUUCCACCUGGGGAGUACGCCGGCAACGGUGAAACUCAAAGGAAUUGACGGGGGCCCGCACAAGCGGUGGAGUAUGUGGUUUAAUUCGAAGCAACGCGAAGAACCUUACCAGGUCUUGACAUCCGAUGCAUAGCACAGAGAUGUGUGAAAUCCUUCGGGACAUCGAGACAGGUGGUGCAUGGUUGUCGUCAGCUCGUGUCGUGAGAUGUUGGGUUAAGUCCCGCAACGAGCGCAACCCUUACUGUUAGUUGCUACGCAAGAGCACUCUAGCAGAACUGCCGUUGACAAAACGGAGGAAGGUGGGGAUGACGUCAAAUCAGCACGGCCCUUACGUCCGGGGCUACACACGUGUUACAAUGGGGGGUACAGAAGGCAGCUACACGGCGACGUGAUGCUAAUCCCGAAAGCCUCUCUCAGUUCGGAUUGGAGUCUGCAACCCGACUCCAUGAAGCUGGAUUCGCUAGUAAUCGCGCAUCAGCCACGGCGCGGUGAAUACGUUCCCGGGCCUUGUACACACCGCCCGUCAAGCCAUGAAAGCCGGGGGUACCUGAAGUGCGUAACCGCAAGGAGCGCCCUAGGGUAAAACUGGUGAUUGGGGCU
rnacentral:rRNA from 1 species